GAGUUUGAUCGUGGCUCAGGAUGAACGCUAGCGACAGGCUUAACACAUGCAAGUCGAGGGGCAGCGGGGGAGUAAGCUUGCUUAUUCCUGCCGGCGACCGGCGCACGGGUGAGUAACACGUAUGCAACCUGCCCUUGGCAGGGGGAUAACCCGGAGAAAUCCGGACUAAUACCGCGUAACACCCCUGGGGGACAUCCCCCGGGGGUCAAAGGAAGCAAUUCCGGCCAAGGAUGGGCAUGCGUCGCAUUAGGCAGUUGGCGGUGUAACGGACCACCAAACCGACGAUGCGUAGGGGUUCUGAGAGGAACGGCCCCCCACACUGGUACUGAGACACGGACCAGACUCCUACGGGA
rnacentral:rRNA from 1 species